UACGGAGGAUCCAAGCGUUAUCCGGAUUUAUUGGGUUUAAAGGGUGCGUAGGCGGCCUGUUAAGUCAGGGGUGAAAGACGGUAGCUUAACUAUCGCAGGUGCCCUUGGUACUGAUGGGCUUGAAUAUACUAGAGGUAGGCGGAAUGUGACAAGUAGCGGUGAAAUGCAUAGAGAUGUGGAGGAACACCAAUGGCGAAGGCAGCCUUCUGGGCCAACACUGACGCUCAUGCACGAAAGCGUGGGGAGCAAACAGG
rnacentral:rRNA from 1 species